rnacentral:sRNA from 1 species
AGAAUGAAUCUUCUCAUGGCGUCUGAAAUUGGAUUGGUCAUUGAAUAUUUUCUGACAAAUUUUACAUUGAAAUUUUUUUUCUUUUUCUCAGAAUGAAUCAACUCAUGAUGCAUAAAUUCUGAAGAAUCAAUAAAUUCUUUCUUACAAAAGUUACAUUUAAACAGCUUUUUCGAAAAGGGAUGAAUCAUCUUAUGACGUUUUAAGCUUGAAAGAUGACUAAAUUCUUUCAGACAAAUGUCACAUUCAAAUAUUUUUUUCCCAGUAUGAGUCCUCAUAUGGGUUUUUAAGUUUAAUAGUUGAUUGAAUUCUUUCAGACAAAAGUUGCAUUUAAAUGACUUUUGACCAGAAUGAAUUAGCUCAUGUCUUUUUAAAGUUGAGGCACGACCAAAUGUUUUCUGACAUUUAUUACAUUUGAAUAGUUUUAGCCCACAAUGAAUUGCCAGGAUGUAUAUUUGCAGACUAUUAGACUGUUCCCUGGAAGGCAGUGGUGUAGCAAGUUCGGUGUCAUCUCUAAGUUCUCAUGUGGGCCUGAACUGGUCAUGAGUCAUGGGCCAAGCGCAAUGAACCCGGUUGCGCCAUUGUCAUUACGCCAAAGCAGUGGUCCCCUAAUGGUCGAGGGCCCGGGUUCAUUGAAUCCCUUUGCAUCAUGGAUGCUAUGCCACUUCAGGAAGGGCAAUCCAUAGUAUUUCUAAAAGGCCAUUCUAUAUUGUGUAUUGAGUCUGAUCUUUAUUGCAUAGAGUAGUGAAUGCAAGGACUUUUUCCUGUUAACUUUGUUCGGCCUUUCUCAAUCAUUGAUCCAGUUUUAGAUAAACUAAAUUUGAUGUGCUUGAGUUUUUAUAGGAUGGUUAAAGAGCAGCAUGUAUUAAUGUAUGUAAAGCCUAUUAAUUAGUAGUGUUUUCUGUUUGUGUAUGUUAUUAUUACAAAGCUGUAAGCAAGUCACAAUAUCUGUCUAGUACAAUUUUUGGACAUGUUAUUUCUCCCA